AGAGAGAGACAUGCGCGCAUAUCAAUAAGCGGAGGAAAAGAAACUAACUAGGAUUCCCUCAGUAACGGCGAGUGAAGCGGGAAGAGCUCAAAUUUGAAAUCUUCAAGGUUCUACCUUGACGAAUUGUAGUUUAAAGAAGUGUUUUCUGUUGGAGUUUUGGUAAAAGUUCUUUGGAAUAGGACAUCAUAGAGGGUGAGAAUCCCGUAUUUGACCAUUAUUUUCCAGCUGUGUGAUACACUUUCAAAGAGUCGGAUUGUUUGGGAAUGCAGUCCAAAAUGGGUGGUAAAUUUCAUCUAAAGCUAAAUACUGGCGAGAGACCGAUAGCGAACAAGUACCGUGAGGGAAAGAUGAAAAGAACUUUGAAAAGAGAGUUAAACAGUACGUGAAAUUGUCAAAAGGGAAGCGUUUGACACCAGUGUUGUUUUCUCGAAAAUCAAUUAAAAAAGGCAGGAUUUUGUGUUGUAUUGACUUUAUCAGCUUUCUGCACUCUUUUCUUGUCUUUUUUAAUGCACUUUUCGUUUAACAAGUCAACAUCAAUUUCUUUUGUUGUAAAAGGGUCAUUGGAAGGUGGCUUUCUUUUCGGAGAAAGUGUUUAUAGCCUUUGGCCUCUGCAAUUGGAGAGAUUGAGGUCUGCAGCGUAGAUCCUUCGGGGUUAGAUACAUUUGUGCUAAGUUAUAGCCUUUCAUAGACAACUUGUUGACUAUGAUCAGUCAUGUAGCUUACUCGCUUAUGCUAUUUUACCUACGCUUAGGAUGUUGAUGUGAUACUGCGAGCA
rnacentral:rRNA from 1 species